rnacentral:rRNA from 1 species
CGCAGGAGUGGGAAGUUUGGGAAGGCCUGGAUCUAGAAGGGGAGGACCGGGAUGGACGUACCUCUGGUGGACCAGUUGUCCUGCCAAGGGCGUGGCUGGGUAGCUAUGUACGGAAUGGAGAAGCGCUGAAAGCAUCUAAGCGCGAAGCCAACUUCAAGAUAAGAUUUCCCACCGCAAGGGUAAGACCCCAGAAAGACUAUCUGGUUG